UAAAAUUUUUCAUAUUAAAUUUAUUUUAAUAUAAAAUUUAUACAAAAAUGUAUUCGAAACCCACACACUUUAUAACCAUAAAAAAACAUUAUAUCUUUAUAAUAUAAAAAAA
rnacentral:misc_RNA from 1 species